rnacentral:rRNA from 1 species
UUCCGGUUGAUCCCGCCGGACCCGACUGCUAUUGGGGUGAGGCUAAGCCAUGCGAGUCAGCGCUUCUAACCAUGAUGAGGCGCGGCAUACGGCUCAUUAACAUGUGGUCAAUCUACCCUCAGGACGGGGACACCCUCGGGAAACUGAGGCUGAUCCCAGAUAGAUAAUGGAUCCUGGAAUGGUUCUUUAUCAAAAUGAUAUGGAGCUCAUGUGUUUCGUGUCGCCUGAGGAUGAGACCGCACCCUAUCAGGUAGUUGGUGGGGUAACGGCCCACCAAGCCUAUAACGGGUACGGGCCCUGAGAGGGGGAGCCCGGAGAUGGGUACUGAGACAAGGACCCAGGCCCUACGGGGCGCAGCAGGCGCGAGACCUCUGCAAUGCGCGAAAGCGCGACAGGGCCACCCCGAGUGCUAGACGCUGAGUCUAGCUUUUCCUUAGUGUAGUAAGCU